AGAUUGUUUCACAUGCUGCACAUCUGUAUAGUGAAUCACCACUGGACUCUGAUUACGAGAGCUGUCUUGCCUUUCAACAGCGGGACUUUGAGGAGGUGUUUAACCUGUCUUGGUAACCCGUACUGAACCGGUCUACCUUGUUAAACCUGGUCUCCUGGAUCCUCCCGGCCUCCUUUUCCAGCACUGACUGUCCAAAUAAGAGACAAAGUGGAAAAAGCGGCGCACUGUGGAUGGUGCCCGCCCGCCCCCCGCAGCAGGGAGCGCUCCUGAGCCCUGCAGAGGAACCAAUCAAACGCACCUCCUCGCCUGGCCACAGGAUUGUGUAAUCCAGGUAAACCCGGGCAGGUAUUGUGUCAUUGAUUGUGAUGCGGUGUUGGAGGCUGAAAGUGCUUUCCACAGUUACUGUUGUCUGAGCAUUUUCCAGGUCUCAGGUCUCGCACCCCUCCACCCAUCCUGUCCGGACACAUGGCUCUGCUGCUGCUGUGAGAGAGGAGCAGGAGACCAUAUGGAGGUCGGUCUUCAACGUGACUGUGACAUGAGGUGACAUUUAUUGCCCAUUUAUUGGUUGUAUUGACUUUUUCCAACAAAGUCCAAAUGAUGUCAUGUGUGUUAUAAUCCUGGCGAAAAUAUUUGUAAAGAUAAGUGUGAAAAUGUAUUUAAACUGAGAUUAUAAAGGUAAUAGAUCCUGAGUGUGAAGUUUAAUUGAUAAAAAUGUUCAAUAAAUAUGCUGUUAUAUUGAUAA